CGAGUCUGGAUUUGGGGUGCUUGGGAACGAGAAGGAGUCGCCGGAGCUGCUCUUUCUCCGGCGACUAUUCAUGGUGUGGGUUCCUUUGCUGGUGAGGUUCUGCACGGAUCACUGGACGGUGAAUCCGGCGUAAGAGACUCGAACUCAAAGUCCGAGUCUGGAUUUGGGGUGCUUGGGAACGAGAAGGAGUCGCCGGAGCUGCUCUUUCUCCGGCGACUAUUCAUGGUGGCUUCGGAGUGGGUUCCUUGCUUCAUUGACCCGUGUUUGUGUUUUGGUGACUCACGACUGUACCUAUAUAUACAUACUAGUUCCUUUCAAGACUUGAGAUUAUUAUUGGUGUAAAUAACUUGGGACAUGUGGAGUGAAAGAGGCUCUUUGUUGAUAUUAAAUUAAUGGAGGGCUUUAUAAGGUUGGUGUAAAUAAUUUGAACCAUGG
rnacentral:lncRNA from 1 species